rnacentral:rRNA from 1 species
UAACUUCGGGAAACCGGAGCUAAUACCGGAUAAUAUUUUGAACCGCAUGGUUCAAAAGUGAAAGACGGUCUUGCUGUCACUUAUAGAUGGAUCCGCGCUGCAUUAGCUAGUUGGUAAGGUAACGGCUUACCAAGGCAACGAUGCAUAGCCGACCUGAGAGGGUGAUCGGCCACACUGGAACUGAGACACGGUCCAGACUCCUACGGGAGGCAGCAGCG